AACAGACAUUCAGACGUUCAACAUGAUCCGAGCUGCCAGUAUUAUAUGGGUUUUAAUGAUAUGUCCUGGAGGUUUUUGUCAGAGUAAUCGUGUUAACCAGAAUCCUCCUGAUCUCUUUGGCAACCAUCAAAAAUCUGUUAAAAUCCAGUGUGAACACAGUGUACCAAGUUAUAAUCAAAUCAACUGGUACAGACAAGACCAGGGACUGACCUUUAUUGGAUAUCAAUACAGAACAUCAUCACAAAAAAUUGAAAAUGAUUUUAUGUCUAAAGUGGAGAUUGUUGGGGAUGGAAACAAAAAUGUCUCUUUGACCAUCAAAAAUCUUUCAUCCAAUGACAGUGCAGUGUACUUCUGUGCUGCUUAUUACACAGUGCUGCAUAUCUGCUCAAUUCAGUACAAAAACCUCUGUGUAAAUAUUCUCAGCACCUCAUUAACACCUGCUCCUGUGGUCUGGAAUUGAUAUAUUGCCAGUGUUUUUUUUAACAGAAAAGUCACACUUAUAUAAUUAGAGGCAAUUACAGUAAUCUAAAGUAUAAGCAGUUGUAAGC